rnacentral:tRNA from 1 species
AGGAUUUUAAGUUAAAUUUAAACUGUUAACCUUCAAAGUUAUUAAUGCUAAUUAGUAAGUCUUA